rnacentral:tRNA from 1 species
GCAUCAUUAGCUCAGCAGGUAGAGCAACUGGCUCUUAACCAGUGGGUCGCAGGUUCGAACCCUGUAUGAUGUACCA